rnacentral:rRNA from 1 species
UAGGUUGUAGAUGGGNAUGCGUGNCAUUAGCUNGUUGGUAAGGUNNCGGCUUNCNNAGGCAACGAUGUNUAGGGGUUCUGAGAGGAAGGUCCCCCACACUGGUACUGAGACACGGACCAGNCUCCUACGGGAGGCAGCAGUGAGGAAUAUUGGUCAGAUGGCGAGAGCCUNAACCAGCCAUGUCGCGUGCAGGAUGACGGCCUACGGGUUGUAAACUNNNUUUGUACGGGAAGAAAAAACGCCACGUGUGGUGUCUUGCCGGUACCGUACGAAUAAGGAUCGGCUACAUCGGANUUANUGGGUUUAAAGGGUGCGUAGGCGGNNNNUUAAGUCAGUGGUGAAAGUUUGCGGCUCAACCGUGAAAUUGCNAUUGAUNCUGGUUUUCUUGAGUACAGUUGAGGUAGGCGGAAUGUGGUGUGUAGCGGUGAAAUGCUUAGAUAUACCACAGAACACCGAUUGCGAAGGCAGCUUACUNAAGUGUAACUGACGCUGAUGCNCGAAAGCGUGGGGAUCAAACAGGAUUAGAUNCCCUGGUAGUCCACGCAGUAAACGAUGAUCNCUCGUUGUUUGCGAUACAUUGCAAGUGACCAAGAGAAAUCGAUAAGUGAUCCACCUGGGGAGUACGGNCGCAAGGCUCAGUCCNNNNACGAGCGCAACCCNNNUCGUUAGUUGCCAUNAGGUNAUGCUGGGCACUCUANNGAGACUGCNGGUGNUAAACCGCGAGGAAGGUGUGGAUGACGUCAAAUNCAGCNNGGCNNUGCGAUNAGGGCUACACACGUGUUACAAUGGCCGGUACAGAGGGCUGCUACCAUGCGAAUGGAUGCUAAUCCUAAAAACCGGUCCCAGUUCGGAUUGGAGUCUGCAACCCGACUCCAUGAAGCUGGAUUCGCUAGUAAUCGCGCAUCAGCCAUGGCGCGGUGAAUACGU